UACAUAGGGUGCAAGCGUUGUCCGGGAAUUAUUGGGCGUAAAGAGCUCGUAGGUCGUUUGUUACGUCGGAUGUGAAAACCUGAGGCUCAACCUCAGGCCUGCAUUCGAUACGGGCAAACUAGAGUUUGGUAGGGGAGACUGGAAUUCCUGGUGUAGCGGUGGAAUGCGCAGAUAUCAGGAGGAACACCAAUGGCGAAGGCAGGUCUCUGGGCCAAUACUGACACUGAGGAGCGAAAGUCUGGGGAGCGAACAGG
rnacentral:rRNA from 1 species